AGACCCGAAACCCGGUGAUCUAGCCAUGGGCAGGUUGAAGGUUGGGUAACACUAACUGGAGGACCGAACCGACUAAUGUUGAAAAAUUAGCGGAUGACCUGUGGCUGGGGGUGAAAGGCCAAUCAAACCGGGAGAUAGCUGGUUCUCCCCGAAAGCUAUUUAGGUAGCGCCUCGUGAAUUCAUCUCCGGGGGUAGAGCACUGUUUCGGCUAGGGGGCCAUCCCGGCUUACCAACCCGAUGCAAACUGCGAAUACCGGAGAAUGUUAUCACGGGAGACACACGGCGGGUGCUAACGUCCGUCGUGAAGAGGGAAACAACCCAGACCGCCAGCUAAGGUCCCAAAGUCAUGGUUAAGUGGGAAACGAUGUGGGAAGGCCCAGACAGCCAGGAUGUUGGCUUAGAAGCAGCCAUCAUUUAAAGAAAGCGUAAUAGCUCACUGGUCGAGUCGGCCUGCGCGGAAGAUGUAACGGGGCUAAACCAUGCACCGAAGCUGCGGCAGCGAACGUAUCACCCAAGACAACUUUACGGAGUUGACGAUUGACGGAGCGAAGCGACGUCAAAGCGUUCAUUAAAGUCGAGUUGGCUUAGGGAUACGUUCGUUGGGUAGGGGAGCGUUCUGUAAGCCUGUGAAGGUGUGUCGUGAGGCAUGCUGGAGGUAUCAGAAGUGCGAAUGCUGACAUAAGUAACGAUAAAGCGGGUGAAAAGCCCGCUCGCCGGAAGACCAAGGGUUCCUGUCCAACGUUAAUCGGGGCAGGGUGAGUCGACCCCUAAGGCGAGGCCGAAAGGCGUAGUCGAUGGGAAACGGGUUAAUAUUCCCGUACUUGGUGUUACUGCGAAGGGGGGACGGAGAAGGCUAUGUUGGCCGGGCGACGGUUGUCCCGGUUUAAGCGUGUAGGUGUGUGUUCCAGGUAAAUCCGGUUCACUUUAACACUGAGGCGUGAUGACGAGGCACUACGGUGCUGAAGCAACAAAUGCCCUGCUUCCAGGAAAAGCCUCUAAGCAUCAGGUAACAUCAAAUCGUACCCCAAACCGACACAGGUGGUCAGGUAGAGAAUACCAAGGCGCUUGAGAGAACUCGGGUGAAGGAACUAGGCAAAAUGGUGCCGUAACUUCGGGAGAAGGCACGCUGACACGUAGGUGAAGUGAUUUACUCACGGAGCUGAAGUCAGUCGAAGAUACCAGCUGGCUGCAACUGUUUAUUAAAAACACAGCACUGUGCAAACACGAAAGUGGACGUAUACGGUGUGACGCCUGCCCGGUGCCGGAAGGUUAAUUGAUGGGGUCAGCGCAAGCGAAGCUCCUGAUC
rnacentral:rRNA from 1 species